CUAGCCGCCGAAGGUGGGGCCAAUGAUUGGGGUGAAGUCGUAACAAGGUAGCCGUAUCGGAAGGUGCGGCUGGAUCACCUCCUUUCUAAGGAA
rnacentral:rRNA from 1 species